GGUGGCUCAGUGAUAAGAGUGCUUGCCUAGCACGCAAGAGGCCCUAGGUUCGAUUCCUCAGCACCA
rnacentral:tRNA from 1 species